AGUGCGCGUAGGCUCUUUUUAAAGACUAAGCCAUGCACGUGAUAAGUUCAUACAUUGUAAAUGUGAGACUGCGGACGGCUCAGUACAUCAGUUAUAAUCUGCUCGAUUGUUCAGGUUAGUGGAUAACCGUGGGAAAUCUAGAGCUAAUACAUGUACCUCUGGUGGGGCAACCCAUCUGGCAUUUAUUAGAGCGAUACCAACCGUGUGAGCAAUCACACGAGGUGAAUCUAGAUAACUUUGCAGAUCGUAUGGCCUUGAGCUGACGACAUUUCGAUUGAGUUUCUGCCCUAUCAACCAGUUGCAAGUGUAAGGUACUUGCAAAGUGUCAACGGGUGACGGGGGAUCAGGGUUCGAUUCCGGAGAGGGAGCCUGAGAAACGGCUACCACAUCCAAGGAAGGCAGCAGGCGCGCAAAUUACCCAAUCCAGAAAAUGGGAGGUGGUGACGAAAAGUACUAAGUGGCGACUAGUUUGCCAGCUUGGAAUGAAUGCAAUUUAAGCAAUUGAAUUGAGUAACGACUGGAGGGCAAGUCUGGUGCCAGCAGCCGCGGUAAUUCCAGCUCCAGUAGCCUACCUCAACGUUGCUGCGCUUAAAACGCUCGUAGUUGGAUCACGGACUUUGCGUUGGUGUGUGUUCGGGUGCGUUUGUCUCUGGUUAGCUAAUCGGGGGCGGCGAUGUCCAGAACACCAUUAGCCGACGCUUAGUAAUUGCACGUAAGGAUGGCAGUUGGCCUUUAGUGCGUCGACGGUCGUGUCUUACGGGGUGUGCCUUGAGUAAAUCAGAGUGCUCAAAGCAGGCGAAUGCCUGAAUGUGAAUAGCAUGGAACGAACAAUCGUGUAGGGUGUGUGUUGAUUCCAGCGUGUUGUUUGACCGCUGCAACACACGACACCGACCGCCAAUUACGGAUGUUGGUUCCGUAUUGGGGUACUGAUUAAGAGGAGCGGUUGGGGGCAUUGGUAUUUGGCAGCGAGAGGUGAAAUUCUUAGACCUGCCAAGGACUAACAAAUGCGAAGGCAUUUGUCCAGACCGUAUCCAUUAAUCAAGAACGAAAGUGAGAGGUUCGAAAGCGAUCAGAUACCGCCCUAGUUCUCACUGUAAACGAUGCCGACCCGGGAUCAGUUUGGAGUUAUUUUCCACGCUCGAGGUUGGUCCCCCUGGGAAACCUUAAGUCUUUCGGUUGCGGGGGGAGUAUGGUCGCAAGGCUGAAACUUAAAGGAAUUGACGGAAGGGCACCACCAGGGGUGGAGCCUGCGGCUUAAUUUGACUCAACACGGGAAAACUUACCUGGUCCGGACAUCAAAAGGAUAGACAGACUAAUAGAUCUUUCUUGAUAUGGUGAUUGGUGGUGCAUGGCCGUUCUUAGUUCGUGGAGUGAUCUGUCUGGUUUAUUCCGAUAACGAGCGAGACUACAAUCUCCAAUUGAGGCGCUAGAGAAGACCGAAAAUGUGCCUAGGCCAGCGAUGGUUGAAGUGCAUUCGAGGUUGUAGGCAGUGUGUGAAGUGCAUACGGAUCACAAUCCCUCUAGCCAGACAGUGCGUUUCCCGCAUGGGUGGCGUAUUGUGUCAUGGAGAGACAACGGAACAUAUAACAAAAUCCGAGGAAGUGUGGCUAUAACAGGUCUGUGAUGCCCUUAGAUGUUCAGGGCUGCACGCGCGCUACAAUGACGAUGACAACGAG
rnacentral:rRNA from 1 species